GUUGUGACAUCACUUACUAACAUGGCUGUAACCUUAACAGGAUGGGAAUCUGCAUCUUUUUGACGCCAAAGAAGCGACUCUUUUGGCAGUCCAUGUGGAUAAAGUGGUUGGCCUGCAAAGAAUCAUGUGCUGUAGCAGAGAGUUUCAAGGUGGAAAGAAUAUUUUUAUGACGCACUCUGCAACACUAAAACUGCAGUCUUGGCUACCUUCGAUCACUGUGAAUUUACUGCAGAUCUGUCUUUAAGGACUUAUUGGUGGGAUCGAGAAUAUUUAACAUCCUCUGCAGUGCUAAAAAGCAGAGCAGAUACAGCAGGAAACAAAAGCAGAAAGGAAUCAGAAGAGCUUUGCCCUCCUUGUCCCGUGUCCAGAUGUGGCAGCAGCAUCAGGGUAGCUGACCCCACUGUCCACCUACCUGUGGCCCUUGGGAGGCGCUGGGGCAGGGAGACACUUCGGAGAGGCAGGUGUGCAGAGAUCCAGAGGAUGCUGAGCAUCAGGACUCUUCUUGUCCAAGUUGGGCUGUAUUUUGUGAGCAUUUCCACUGUGCUCUGUGCAGCGUUGUGUUCAGGAAGGGAGCAAAGGAGGAUUAUGCUGAAUCAUGUGAGGAGGCUCCUUCCUGCCCAGUGACUGCCUGCUGGGGCACAGUUUAGCAAGGGGCAGCCCAGGAGCCAGCUGAGCUUCCGUGAUCAGGAGACCCAAGCCGCAGGGAAGCUGGAGGACUUAGGGAGGAGAGCAGGAAGCUGGUUUUCAUGGACACAGGAAAUAAUACAAUGGACUCAUGUUACCAAUGGAAAAGUCUCAACAUAAAAACAUGAAUGAACAGCAGUCUAGCUGCUAAGAAGAAAUGGAUGUUUUCCUAUGCUCUCCCAUACUCCCUGUGAUGAUUUGAAUGAGAAU